rnacentral:rRNA from 1 species
AUACGGAGGAUCCGAGCGUUAUCCGGAUUUAUUGGGUUUAAAGGGAGCGUAGGUGGACAGUUAAGUCAGUUGUGAAAGUUUGCGGCUCAACCGUAAAAUUGCAGUUGAUACUGGCUGUCUUGAGUACAGUAGAGGUGGGCGGAAUUCGUGGUGUAGCGGUGAAAUGCUUAGAUAUCACGAAGAACUCCGAUUGCGAAGGCAGCUCACUGGACUGCAACUGACACUGAUGCUCGAAAGUGUGGGUAUCAAACAGGAUUAGAUACCCUGGUAGUCCACACAGUAAGCGAUGAAUACUCGCUGUUUGCGAUAUACAGUAAGCGGCCAAGCGAAAGCAUUAAGUAUUCCACCUGGGGAGUACGCCGGCAACGGUGAAACUCAAAUGAAUUGACGGGG